rnacentral:misc_RNA from 1 species
ACACCUCAACUCUCACGGUCUUCCGUGACGAGCUUGGACUUUGGGGGUUUGCUGGCCCUGCGGCCGGCUCCUCUCAAACAAAUCAGCUUGCCAGUGUUUGGCGGCAUCUCACGGGUGUGAUAACUAUCUACGCUCGCGGCUGUCUACCAGGUAACCCUCAGCGAUGAAGGUUCAUUGGGGCUCAUAAACGUCUCUCCUCGGCGAGGACAGCUUUUGAAC